rnacentral:lncRNA from 1 species
AAAAUAGAAAUAAAAAAUACUAGAUAAAAGAGAUAGACACAAUUAAAUUCAAACAACUAAGAGAUGUAAUGGUGAAACUAACCAAAAACACCACUUAAUUGGGAAAUAAAAGCACCUAAUCUAUUAGAAUCCUCAAGAAAGUAAUAAUCUUACUUGCAAAUUCUAGGACAAAAUGUUGAAGUUCAACAAAGGGCUUCCAACUCUCACAAGAGGCAUAACAUGUCCAAAACUCCUUAUG